AUUGAACGCUGGCGGAAUGCUUUACACAUGCCAGUCGAACGGUAGAGGGGGCAACCCCUUGAGAGUGGCGAACGGGUGAGUAAUAUAUCGGAACGUGCCCAGUCGUGGGGGAUAACGUAGCGAAAGUUACGCUAAUACCGCAUACGAUCUAAGGAUGAAAGCGGGGGAUCGCAAGACUUCGCGCGACUGGAGCGGCCGAUAUCAGAUUAGGUAGUUGGUAGGGUAAAGGCCUACCAAGCCAACGAUCUGUAGCUGGUCUGAGAGGACGACCAGCCACACUGGAACUGAGACACGGUCCAGACUCCUACGGGAGGCAGCAGUGGGGAAUUUUGGACAAUGGGCGAAAGCCUGAUCCAGCCAUUCCGCGUGCAGGAUGAAGGCCCUCGGGUUGUAAACUGCUUUUGUACAGAACGAAAAGGUUUCUAUUAAUACUAGGAGCUCAUGACGGUACUGUAAGAAUAAGCACCGGCUAACUACGUG
rnacentral:rRNA from 1 species